rnacentral:rRNA from 1 species
GGAUCAAUUUGCCGGUCGAGACCUCUGGUACGUACUUGUAUUAUUGAUUUCUUUCAUUCUGAUAAAUCAUUGAUGUCAUUAAUUUGGUGUUAUGGGAAAUCAGGACUGUUACUUUGAAAAAAUUAGAGUGUUUAAAGCAGGCUCACGCUUGAAUACAUUAGCAUGGAAUAAUGAAAUAGGACGUUCGAUCCUAUUUUGUUGGUUUUAGGAUCAACGUA